AAUGAACGCUGGCGGCAUGCCUUACACAUGCAAGUCGAACGGCAGCAUGACCUAGCUUGCUAGGUUGAUGGCGAGUGGCGAACGGGUGAGUAAUGCAUCGGAACGUGCCUUUUAGUGGGGGAUAACGUAGCGAAAGUUACGCUAAUACCGCAUAUUCUCUGAGGAGGAAAGCAGGGGGCCUUCGGGCCUUGCGCUAGAAGAGCGGCCGAUGUCGGAUUAGCUAGUUGGUGAGGUAAAGGCUCACCAAGGCAACGAUCCGUAGCGGGUCUGAGAGGAUGAUCCGCCACACUGGGACUGAGACACGGCCCAGACUCCUACGGGAGGCAGCAGUGGGGAAUUUUGGACAAUGGGCGCAAGCCUGAUCCAGCCAUGCCGCGUGAGUGAAGAAGGCCUUCGGGUUGUAAAGCUCUUUCGGCUGGGAAGAAAUCGCACUCUCUAAUACAGGGUGUGGAUGACGGUGCCAGCAGAAGAAGCACCGGCUAACUACGUG
rnacentral:rRNA from 1 species